UCGGCACCCACGGAUGUAUUAGCAGGAGUGUUGUAAGCAAGACACAAGAAGUAAUUCUUCCACUCUACUCCAUGCUGAUUAGGCCUCAACUGGAGUAUUGUGUCCAGUUCUGGAAGCCACAUUUCAGGAAAGAUGUGGCCAAAUUGGAGAGAGUCCAGAGAAGAGCAACAAAAAUGACCUAUGAAAACAUGACCUAUGAGGGAAGAUUGAAAAAAUUGUUUAGUCUGGAAAGAGAAGACUGAGAGGGGACACAACAGUUUUCAAGUGAUUCAACAAAAUUGUAGAAGAAAAGGAGCUGUCUGGCACACAGCCUGCCCAGCACUGGGAAUUGCAGAAGUGGUUUAAAGUCUUCUGGGACCAGCACAGCUAGAACUGCACUGCAACUCAUAGACGUUCUGUGGAGGGAGAUAUGGGAUAGAUGCAACAAUCCACAAUAGGUCUGUGACAGGACAGCCAUGGAGCCUUCACAACAUCAAUGGAUGGUACAUUGUGGCACUUUGAUGCAAGAUGGCAGGAUGCAACGAUGAUGUAAAUUGGAUGCUAUUGUGAUGUAAUGAGUUUGUCUGGGAGGACAAAUUGAAAAGGUGGUUUUGAGUCUUUUUUUAUAAUAAGAUAAAUAAUAAAUAUCAGUAACCCCUACCGGCCAUCUCCCAGACCAUUACAGCAACUGCAAGAAUUGUCAGAUUUUAGUCUCCUGGCCUCAAAAGUCUCAUAUACAAGUACCUCAUCCAGUUUCAACACUCAAGUCCAAGGCUCACUCUGUGCAGAUGUAACCGACAAGCAAACGUUUAUGACAGGCUCUCUCUGUGCCUGAUCUGCAGACUAUAUGAGUCCAUUAGAUGCCCAGCUCAAGAGCUUUCGCUCAAGCUGUAGCAGUUCUUGCUCUGGGCUCUGGUGUGUUGGCCAGUUUGGCAGCGGUCACACAUGGAGUGUGUCAAUGUGAGCCUUUGCCUCUCAACUGGCAUCAAGUUUCAGGAUACACACGCACCUCUUUCCUUUGAUCACACAUGGGGGGCAGGGAGAGGGGAUCCUCAUAUCACAGUCACAGCUCUGCCUAGUUGCUCCAACUAAUCCUUCCACCACUCAAUAUGGUGAUACCUAAUACAGUGAAUGCAGCUAGAGUUCAUGUAGAUAAAUCCCAGGUGGCUAUUGCCACCUCCAGGGCAAAGCAGAG